rnacentral:rRNA from 1 species
GAACGAGCGAGAGAGAGCUUGCUUUCUCGAGCGAGUGGCGAACGGGUGAGUAACGCGUGAGGAACCUGCCUCAAAGAGGGGGACAACAGUUGGAAACGACUGCUAAUACCGCAUAAGCCCACGGGUCGGCAUCGACCAGAGGGAAAAGGAGCAAUCCGCUUUGAGAUGGCCUCGCGUCCGAUUAGCUAGUUGGUGAGGUAACGGCCCACCAAGGCAACGAUCGGUAGCCGGACUGAGAGGUUGAACGGCCACAUUGGGACUGAGACACGGCCCAGACUCCUACGGGAGGCAGCAGUGGGGAAUAUUGCACAAUGGGGGAAACCCUGAUGCAGCGACGCCGCGUGGAGGAAGAAGGUCUUCGGAUUGUAAACUCCUGUUGUUGAGGAAGAUAAUGACGGUACUCAACAAGGAAGUGACGGCUAACUACGUGCCAGCAGCCGCGGUAAAACGUAGGUCACAAGCGUUGUCCGGAAUUACUGGGUGUAAAGGGAGCGCAGGCGGGAAGACAAGUUGG